rnacentral:rRNA from 1 species
CCUACGGGGGGCAGCAGUGGGGAAUAUUGGACAAUGGGGGCAACCCUGAUCCAGCCAUGCCGCGUGUGUGAAGAAGGCCCUCGGGUUGUAAAGCACUUUCAGUGAGGAAGAACGCCUGGUGGUUAAUACCCAUCAGGAAAGACAUCACUCACAGAAGAAGCACCGGCUAACUCCGUGCCAGCAGCCGCGGUAAUACGGAGGGUGCGAGCGUUAAUCGGAAUUACUGGGCGUAAAGCGCGCGUAGGUGGCUUGAUAAGCCGGUUGUGAAAGCCCCGGGCUCAACCUGGGAACGGCAUCCGGAACUGUCAAGCUAGAGUGCAGGAGAGGAAGGUAGAAUUCCCGGUGUAGCGGUGAAAUGCGUAGAGAUCGGGAGGAAUACCAGUGGCGAAGGCGGCCUUCUGGACUGACACUGACACUGAGGUGCGAAAGCGUGGGUAGCAAUCAGGAUUAGAUACCCGGGUAGUC